GACUAAGGUUCGAUUCGAGCGAAAGCGAGAAAGCGUUGCCGCAGGCAACGACCCGAAGGGCGAAACGCGCAGCGCUGAGUCAUCCUUCCCCCACCACCA
rnacentral:sRNA from 3 species